GUCCAUGCCGUAAACGUUGGGAACUAGAUGUGGGGACCAUUCCACGGUCUCCGUGUCGCAGCUAACGCAUUAAGUUCCCCGCCUGGGGAGUACGGCCGCAAGGCUAAAACUCAAAGGAAUUGACGGGGGCCCGCACAAGCGGCGGAGCAUGCGGAUUAAUUCGAUGCAACGCGAAGAACCUUACCAAGACUUGACAUAUACGAGAACGCUGCAGAAAUGUAGAACUCUUUGGACACUCGUAAACAGGUGGUGCAUGGUUGUCGU
rnacentral:rRNA from 1 species